GGGCCCGCACAAGCGGUGGAGCAUGUGGUUUAAUUCGAUGAUACGCGAGGAACCUUACCAGGGCUUAAAUGGAAAAUGACAGGGGCAGAGACGCCCCCUUCUUCGGACAUUUUUCAAGGUGCUGCAUGGUUGUCGUCAGCUCGUGCCGUGAGGUGUCAGGUUAAGUCCUAUAACGAGCGCAACCCCUACCGUUAGUUGCCAGCGUGUAAUGACGGGGACUCUAACGGAACUGCCGGUGCAAACCGUGAGGAAGGUGGGGACGACGUCAAAUCAUCACGGCCCUUACGUCCUGGGCCACACACGUGCUACAAUGGUCGGUACAGAGGGCAGCUACCGGGUGACCGGAUGCGAAUCUCUAAAGCCGAUCUCAGUUCGGAUUGGAGUCUGCAACUCGACUCCGUG
rnacentral:rRNA from 1 species